UACAGGGGGGGCAAGCGUUGUUCGGAAUUACUGGGCGUAAAGGGCUCGUAGGCGGCCAACUAAGUCACACGUGAAAUCCCCAGGCUUAACCUGGGAACUGCGUGUGAUACUGGAUGGCUUGAAUUCGGGAGAGGGAUGCAGAAUUCCAGGUGUAGCGGUGAAAUGCGCAGAUAUCAGGAGGAACACCGGUGGCGAAGGCGGCCUCCUGGUUCAAUACUGACGCUGAGGUGCGAAAGCGUGGGGAGCAAACAGG
rnacentral:rRNA from 1 species